rnacentral:rRNA from 1 species
UACGUAGGGUGCAAGCGUUAUCCGGAAUUAUUGGGCGUAAAGAGCUCGUAGGCGGUUUGUCGCGUCUGCUGUGAAAACUGGAGGCUCAACCUCCAGCCUGCAGUGGGUACGGGCAGACUAGAGUGCGGUAGGGGAGAUUGGAAUUCCUGGUGUAGCGGUGGAAUGCGCAGAUAUCAGGAGGAACACCGAUGGCGAAGGCAGAUCUCUGGGCCGUAACUGACGCUGAUGCACGAAAGCUAGGGGAGCAAACAGG